GUUACUUAAUUUGAUGAUCCACGAACCACUCUACCUAACUUUGAAUUACAGCUUGUAUACUUCUGUCGCCAGCAAACCUCUAUAAGAUUAGUUUACAAAAAAUAACCUAAAUAUUAAUCACGUCAAGUCAAGGUGCAGCCUAUAGUUAGGAGUUGAUGGGUUACAAUCUUUAUAAAGAUACGAAUAUAAUUUAUAAUAAAUUAUUGAAGGUGGACUUGAAAGUAAUGAUAAAAAAUCAUAAAUAUAUAUCUAGGAUGUGCACAAAUCGCCCGUCGCUCUCGUU
rnacentral:rRNA from 1 species